CGGAAGGAUCAUUAUUGAAUAAACCUGAUGUGGCUGUUAGCUGGCUUUUCGAAGCAUGUGCUCGUCCGUCAUCUUUAUCUCUCCACCUGUGCACAUUUUGUAGUCUUGGAUAUUGCUUCCAAGACUAUGUUUUUAUAUACACCAAAGUAUGUUUAAAGAAUGUCAUCAAUAGAAACUUGUUUUCUAUGAAAAUUAUACAACUUUCAGCAACGGAUCUCUUGGCUCUCGCAUCGAUGAAGAACGCAGCGAAAUGCGAUAAGUAAUGUGAAUWGCAGAAUAUCAGUGAAUCAUCGAAUCUUUGAACGCACCUUGCGCUCCUUGGUAUUCCGAGGAGCAUGCCUGUUUGAGUGUCAUUAAAUUCUCAACCUUCCAACUUUUAUUAGCUUGGUUAGGCUUGGAAGUGGGGGUUGCGGGCUUCUAUUAAUGAGGUCAGCUCUCCUUAAAUGCAUUAGUGGAACUUUUGUGGACCCUCUAUUGGUGUGAUAAUUAUCUACGCCGUGGAUGUGAAGCAGCUUUAUGAAGUUCAGCUUCUAACUGUCCAUUGACUUGGACAAUUUUUGACAAUUUGACCUCAAAUCAGGUAGGACUACCCGCUGAACUUAAGCAUAUCAAUAAGCGGAAA
rnacentral:sRNA from 1 species